AGUGAACGCUGGCGGUAGGCCUAACACAUGCAAGUCGAACGGCAGCACAGUAAGAGCUUGCUCUUACGGGUGGCGAGUGGCGGACGGGUGAGGAAUACAUCGGAAUCUACUUUUUCGUGGGGGAUAACGUAGGGAAACUUACGCUAAUACCGCAUACGACCUACGGGUGAAAGCAGGGGAUCUUCGGACCUUGCGCGAUUGAAUGAGCCGAUGUCGGCUUAGCUAGUUGGCGGGGUAAAGGCCCACCAAGGCGACGAUCCGUAGCUGGUCUGAGAGGAUGAUCAGCCACACUGGAACUGAGACACGGUCCAGACUCCUACGGGAGGCAGCAGUGGGGAAUAUUGGACAAUGGGCGCAAGCCUGAUCCAGCCAUACCGCGUGGGUGAAGAAGGCCUUCGGGUUGUAAAGCCCUUUUGUUGGGAAAGAAAAGCAGCAGGUUAAUACCCCGCUGUUCGGACGGUACCCAAAGAAUAAGCACCGGCUAACUUCGUG
rnacentral:rRNA from 1 species